UAAAAGUCGUAACAAGGUUUCCGUAGGUGAACCUGCGGAAGGAUCAUUAAAAAAUGAGACCUGAUUCAAGGUCUAUUAAUAAUCCUACCCUUUGUGAAUUUGUUUGUUUUAAUAUGUGUCUUUCCUGUUUGGUUUGAAGCUUUGUUUAAAAGUUUCGAACCUUCAGGGGAAUGGCAAAACUUUUUUUUAAAAUUAAACUUUUUGUAUUCAUUUGUCUAAAAUUAUUUUUAUAAUAUAAAAACAACUUUUGACAAUGGAUCUCUUGGUUCUCGCAACGAUGAAGAACGCAGCAAAAUGCGAUAAGUAGUGUGAAUUGCAGAAUACGUGAAUCAUCGAAUCUUCGAACGCAUAUUGCACUUUUUUAGUUUACCAAAAAAGUAUGUCUGUUUGAGUAUCAGUAAAAUAUUCUCAUAAAAACUAUUUGUUUUUUAUGGUUAUGAGUGUUUUACAACGAUAAACAAGUUGUUUCACUUUAAAUUCUUUGUCUUUAAAAAAUCAUUAAAAACUGAUUUUAUUUUUUAAAAUUGGAUAAAAUUUUCCCGUAAAAAGGAAUAACCUAAACAAUUUUAAAUUAAAAUUGGUUUGAUUUUUUUAGACUCAAAGGAAAAAAAAGUAAAAAUUAACUUGAUCUCAAAUCAGAUAAGAGUACCCGCUGAACUUAAGCAUAUCAAUAAGCGGAGGAAAAGAAACUAACUAGGAUUCCCUCAGUAACGGCGAGUGAAGCGGGAAGAGCUCAAAUUUGAAAUCUUCAAGGUUUUACCUUGACGAAUUGUAGUUUAAAGAAGUGUUUUCUGUUGGAUUUUGGUAAAAGUUCUUUGGAAAAGACAUCAAAGAGGGUGAGAAUCCCGUAUUUGACCAUUAUUUCCAACUUUGUGAUACACUUUCAAAGAGUCGGAUUGUUUGGGAAUGCAGUCCAAAAUGGGUGGUAAAUUUCAUCUAAAGCUAAAUACUGGCGAGAGACCGAUAGCGAACAAGUACCGUGAGGGAAAGAUGAAAAGAACUUUGAAAAGAGAGUUAAACAGUACGUGAAAUUGUCAAAAGGGAAGCGUUUGACACCAGUGUUGUUUUCUCGAAAAUCAAUUAAAAAUGAUGGAUUUUGUGUUGUAUUGACUUUAUCAGCUUUCUGCACUUUUUUCUUGUCUUUUUUAAUGCACUUUUCGUUUAACAAGUCAACAUCAAUUUCUUUUGUUGUAAAAGAGUCAUUGGAAGGUGGCUUUCUUUUCGGAGAAAGUGUUUAUAGCCUUUGGCUUCUGCAAUCGGAGAGAUUGAGGUCUGCAGCGUAGAUCCUUCGGGGUUAGAUACAUUUGUGCUAAGUUAUAGCCUUUCAUAGACAACUUGUUGACUAUGAUCAGUCAUGUAGCUUACUCGCUUAUGCUAUUUUACCUACGCUUAGGAUGUUG
rnacentral:misc_RNA from 1 species